AGUUAAUUAGCUAUUAGCAAUAUAUUUUGAAAAUAUAAGAAAGAGAAUGGUUUCUCUAUUAACUU
rnacentral:tRNA from 1 species